CCUACGGGGAGCUGCAGUGGGGAAUAUUGCACAAUGGGGGGAACCCUGAUGCAGCGACGCCGCGUGAGUGAAGAAGUAUUUCGGUAUGUAAAGCUCUAUCAGCAGGGAAGAUAAUGACGGUACCUGACUAAGAAGCCCCGGCUAACUACGUGCCAGCAGCCGCGGUAAUACGGAGGGGGCAAGCGUUAUCCGGAUUUACUGGGUGUAAAGGGUGCGUAGGUGGCAGGGCAAGUCAGAUGUGAAAGCCCGGGGCCCAACCCCGGUACUGCAUUUGAAACUGUUACUCUGGAGGGUGGGGGAGGUAGGUGGAAUUCUUGGUGUAAGGGUAAAAUC
rnacentral:rRNA from 1 species